GACGAACGCUGGCGGCGUGCUUAACACAUGCAAGUCGAACGGAAAGGCCCUGCUUUUGUGGGGUGCUCGAGUGGCGAACGGGUGAGUAACACGUGAGUAACCUGCCCUUGACUUUGGGAUAACUUCAGGAAACUGGGGCUAAUACCGGAUAGGAGCUCCUGCUGCAUGGUGGGGGUUGGAAAGUUUCGGCGGUUGGGGAUGGACUCGCGGCUUAUCAGCUUGUUGGUGGGGUAGUGGCUUACCAAGGCUUUGACGGGUAGCCGGCCUGAGAGGGUGACCGGCCACAUUGGGACUGAGAUACGGCCCAGACCCUACGGGAGGCAGCAGUGGGGAAUAUUGCACAAUGGGCGGAAGCCUGAUGCAGCAACGCCGCGUGCGGGAUGACGGCCUUCGGGUUGUAAACCGCUUUCGCCUGUGACGAAGCGUGAGUGACGGUAAUGGGUAAAGAAGCACCGGCUAACUACGUG
rnacentral:rRNA from 1 species